rnacentral:rRNA from 1 species
UACGAACGCUGGCGGCAUGCCUAACACAUGCAAGUCGAACGAUGCUUUCGGGCAUAGUGGCGCACGGGUGCGUAACGCGUGGGAAUCUGCCCUUGGGUUCGGAAUAACAGUGAGAAAUUGCUGCUAAUACCGGAUGAUGUCUUCGGACCAAAGAUUUAUCGCCCAGGGAUGAGCCCGCGUAGGAUUAGCUAGUUGGUGGGGUAAUGGCCUACCAAGGCGACGAUCCUUAGCUGGUCUGAGAGGAUGAUCAGCCACACUGGGACUGAGACACGGCCCAGACUCCUACGGGAGGCAGCAGUGGGGAAUAUUGGACAAUGGGCGCAAGCCUGAUCCAGCAAUGCCGCGUGAGUGAUGAAGGCCUUAGGGUUGUAAAGCUCUUUUACCCGGGAUGAUAAUGACAGUACCGGGAGAAUAAGCUCCGGCUAACUCCGUG